AAGGGGCGGACGCGCUCGGGAGGCGAAAUGGGCUAUGAUCCUGAGCGCGGUGGCCGCAGCUAGACGAGCUUCCGCCAUCAGGACCUCAGGCCAGGAGGCCUGGAAGCGACAGCGCAUCUCGUGGGUCUCACCGUGUCACCGUGAUUGGCCUGGAACUUUCUAUGUAGAUCGGGCUGACCUGGAGCUCACAAGUUCCCACCUGCCUCUGCCCCCAGACCACUAGGAUUAAAGGUGUGUGUGUCACUAUGCCUGGAGGAAAUUUUUCUUUAAAAAAAAAAAAAAAAAAAAACACACAAAAA